GAUGAACGCUGGCGGCGUGCCUAAUACAUGCAAGUCGAGCGAACGGACGAGAAGCUUGCUUCUCUGAUGUUAGCGGCGGACGGGUGAGUAACACGUGGAUAACCUACCUAUAAGACUGGGAUCACUUCGGGAAACCGUAGCUAAUACCGGAUAAUAUUUUGAACCGCAUGGUUCAAAAGUGAAAGACGGUCUUGCUGUCACUUAUAGAUGGAUCCGCGCUGCAUUAGCUAGUUGGUAAGGUAACGGCUUACCAAGGCAACGAUGCAUAGCCGACCUGAGAGGGUGAUCGGCCACACUGGAACUGAGACACGGUCCAGACUCCUACGGGAGGCAGCAGUAGGGAAUCUGCCGCAAUGGGCGAAAGCCUGACGGAGCAACGCCGCGUGAGUGAUGAAGGUCUUCGGAUCGUAAAACUCUGUUAUUAGGGAAGAACAUAUGUGUAAGUAACUGUGCACAUCGUGACGGUACCUAAUCAGAAAGCCACGGCUAACUACGUG
rnacentral:rRNA from 1 species